rnacentral:rRNA from 1 species
UACGUAGGGGGCAAGCGUUGUCCGGAAUCAUUGGGCGUAAAGAGCGUGUAGGCGGCCCGGUAAGUCUGUUGUGAAAGUCCAGGGCUCAACCCUGGAAUGCCGAUGGAUACUGCCGGGCUAGAGUUCGGAAGAGGCGAGUGGAAUUCCUGGUGUAGCGGUGGAAUGCGCAGAUAUCAGGAGGAACACCUAUAGCGAAGGCAGCUCGCUGGGACGGUACUGACGCUGAGACGCGAAAGCGUGGGGAGCGAACAGG